UGGAAACCCUAGUUACGGAGAAAUAGUGUCCUAUUUAUUCCUCCCAAGCCCUUUGCAUUUCAAUAUCAUCUUUUCUUCUCCGUUGAAGAGACGAUUCAUACUAUGUUUCAACAACAUCCUCUUCGGCGAUAGUGAUGAGACUUAUGUGGACUAGAGUUUCUGAUCUUGGGUUUUAUCCCAUUAUUGAAGACAAACCCUUGGCUGUCUGAGUACACAAUUUAUUUUUAUUGUUUUUGUUCAUUGACAUUCAACAUAUUGAACAAGAACCCAUUCAUAAUUUCAUUUUUGGGCUUAUGAUGAAAAAUCACAUUAUCUUAGCGGAUUUCAGUGAGAUUUUUUUCAAUGAUCUGAAUGUUACACACAUUGAGGCCCCUUUUAUACUUUUUAUUGAUCUGAAUGUGUUAUUUUAAUCUGACAACUAUUCUAAUGGAGCAAAUUAUUUAGUCUUUGCAAAUUCCAUUCAUAGUCGUCAAAGAUUGAGCCUCCUUUUCUGAUCAAUGAAUGGUUGAGAUUUUCUCUCUUA